rnacentral:sRNA from 1 species
UAAUCAUUGGCUUGUAUCCCUAUUUGACCUAUUCUCGUGUUUGUGAUCGGAUGAGCUGUGGCAUUUCAGAAGGGUUCUCAAGUAUACCUCAGGACACUUUCGGCUUGAAAAAACAUCAAUGGACCUGACGACCGAUCCAACAGCAUCAUCGCGUAGCCCGCCAGUUAACAGCUCGCUUUAUAUGUUUUCGACCCAAUAAACACUUCUUAAAUAGAGCUCCUACUUUAUCUACAAGAGCACACAUCUCUUACUCCACCAUCGCCGCAUCACCAUCUUGCCUGUCUCAACGCCAUAGGGUCGAGUCCCGACCGGCUUAUCCCUUGGGGCACUCUGCCAUAGGGGAUAUUGCUUGCUGCUGAAUGUCGUUUAGACGGAAUGAUCAAUGAUGACGCAUGACACACCCAAAAGCCCAUAGCUGGCAGAAGAUGUUUUGCCCCUUUGGCGAGCAACGAUGGCAGUAAUUUUCUUCCAUUUCCCAACCUGCUCAGUAGCAUAUAUGCCGGGUAGGAACUGCCGUUGCUUGCUUCUUCUGAGACGAUAGCACUUUGCCAUCGAGGGCUUACCAGCUGCUUUCUGCUAGUAAUAUUUCGCUGCCACGCCAAAGGAAAUGUUUGAGCUCGAUGGGGCCAACAUUAAUAGGUGAGAGUAAUUUCGGACGCAAAUGGGUCAUUUUGUUACGGGGAUGGUGCCGUUUGAAGAGGAUUGUCAGUGAAAAUAAAAGACAACAAUAAGACAUCAAGGCUGUCACAUGAACAGACGCUUGACGCUCGAUAAGCCUCUGAAGGACAUAACGCACGCUGCCAUACUUGCAUGUUGAAAGAUAAGUUAGCCGACACACGUCCACACAGACCGUCUCCUUGUUCAAACCAAGCUGAGCAAACAAUGCAACAGCGAGAGGAUACAAGACUGCUAUGUUAUAGUUAGAAGUGAUUCGCUUCCGUCCUUGAUACAUUAGCCUCCACCUCGCCUCCACAUCGUCCGGCUUGCCAUAGAGUCAGUGCCAUCCAACGUCAAGGAGAACGCCACAAGCCUGGCUGUGGUUUAAACACAAUAGGCU